rnacentral:piRNA from 1 species
UAUUAAUUCAUUCAAUAGAUCUGGUC